UACGAGGGGGGCAAGCGUUGUUCGGAAUUAUUGGGCGUAAAGGGCGCGUAGGCGGUUUGACAAGUCUGAUGUGAAAUCUCUGGGCUCAACCCAGAGUCUGCAUUAGAAACUGUCGGGCUUGAGUAUGGGAGAGGUGAGUGGAAUUUCCGGUGUAGCGGUGAAAUGCGUAGAUAUCGGAAGGAACACCUGUGGCGAAAGCGGCUCACUGGACCAUAACUGACGCUGAGGCGCGAAAGCUAGGGGAGCAAACAGGG
rnacentral:rRNA from 1 species